rnacentral:rRNA from 1 species
AUACGGAGGAUGCAAGCGUUAUCCGGAUUUAUUGGGUUUAAAGGGUGCGUAGGCGGAUGAUUAAGCGUGAGGUGAAAUGCCACUGCUCAACAGUGGAACUGCCUCGCGAACUGGUUGUCUUGAAUGCUCCUGCCGUGGGAGGAAUGUGUGGUGUAGCGGUGAAAUGCAUAGAGAUCACACAGAACACCGAUUGCGAAGGCAUCUCACGAAGGGGUGAUUGACGCUGAGGCACGAAAGCGUGGGGAUCAAACAGGAUUAGAUACCCUGGUAGUCCACGCAGUAAACGAUGAUAACUAACCGCUGGGUCGUAGUGAUUCAGUGGCCAAGCGAAAGCGAUAAGUUAUCCACCUGGGGAG